CCGGCCAACCAGAACACUGGAUUUCUAAGAUUUCUGUGGGGGACUGGGAGUAGGGAUAAAUGAUGCUGAUGGAUCCUUCCUAGACUCAGUGCCCAUCUGGGGACCUGGUCAGGGUGGGGUGGGGAGUGGUGUUGCGGUGUAAAGAAUAAUGAAUUAAAGGAAACCUGAGACUCCCUCCUUCUCUAGCUUGGGGGAGUUCCCCUUUCCACCUAGAAAUUCUUCCGUUGCUCUUGCAGACUGAAGAAGCCUGCCCUCUCUGGAGUCUCCCUCACCUUUAUCUUCCUCCCCACUACCUUUCUCUUUUUCUCCUCCUCUAAAGGUAGGAUGUCUGAGAUCUCGAAUUCACCAGAUUUCAGAAAUCGGAAGGGGCAGGGAGCUCAAUUCUAGGCUUUGCUGUGCAACAGUUUCUAAUUAUGCCCUUGGAAAUAGCUGUAAACGCCAAGGACGCUUUUGAGUUACUCCUUUGUUUCUGGGAGAGCAAGUCCUGAGGAGGCAGAGAGGUGACUCAGUGGGAUCCCCGUUGGAAAUCAGUUACCUCCAUUGUAUAGAUGCGGAAACCAAAGCUCAGAGGUCCAGCACCACCAUCACCUACUCCAAGUGACCAUCCCUGACUGCUCCAUCUGAAUGUUGUUUCAUCUGUAUCUCUGCCUUACCACUCCACAGCAUUUAUCAUGAUCUGCAGCUAUCUUUUAUUUCUAUUUGAUUUCUUGUUUCUUGUCUGUCUCUUCCCCUAGAAUGUGGAUUUCACCCCCUAAGGGCAGGAAUUCUUGUCUGUUUUUUUUCCCACUUCUUGAUUCCUAGCCCCUAAAAUAGUACCUGACAAUAAAUGUUGAAAGACAGAGGGGCAGAAGGAAACAAAGAAAUACAGGCUAAAUGACUGAGGGAAUAAAUGAAUGAAUGAAUA